CCAAAACCUCGAGAACGCCCAGAGAACUUGUCAACAACCACCUGUUUCAAAAAUAUGGUGAGGAAGAACAUUAACAAUCUCCAAAACAAAAAUAAAGCUUAGAUUCAUAAUCAUAUUACACAUUUCUUUUAUUUGUUUACUUGAUUUGGUAAUAAACUAGUUCAGCCGGUAUUGCAAUUUUCCUGCUAGAAUAAAAACAAAGAAUAAAUUGUGGAUCUCAACCAAAGUGUACAACAUAAACCAACUUCAAAGCACAAACAUGAAAUACAAUACUGACAGCAAUAACUUCAUUGAGAUGAACAACAAUGAUUAUAGUCAUAAUACGAUACUGAUCACCUUUGCCUCAACAAGCUUGCCAAACUUUUCAAAUGUAUCCUUUAACUUUCUAUCAGAUGUUGACCAUGCAAGGCCACC